rnacentral:rRNA from 1 species
AUUGAACGCUGGCGGCAUGCCUUACACAUGCAAGUCGAACGGUAACGGGCCUUCGGGUGCCGACGAGUGGCGAACGGGUGAGUAAUGUAUCGGAACGUACCUUUCAGUGGGGGAUAACGUAGCGAAAGUUACGCUAAUACCGCAUAUUCUGUGCGCAGGAAAGCAGGGGAUCGCAAGACCUUGCGCUGAUUGAGCGGCCGAUAUCAGAUUAGCUAGUUGGUGAGGUAAAGGCUCACCAAGGCGACGAUCUGUAGCGGGUCUGAGAGGAUGAUCCGCCACACUGGAACUGAGACACGGGCCAGACUCCUACGGGAGGCAGCAGUGGGGAAUUUUGGACAAGGGGGGCAACCCUGAUCCAGCCAUGCCGCGUGAGUGAAGAAGGCCUUCGGGUUGUAAAGCUCUUUCGGCCGGGAAGAAAUCGUAUCAGCUAAUACCUGGUGCGGAUGACGGUACCGGCAUAAGAAGCACCGGCUAACUACGUGCCAGCAGCCGCCGUAACAC